rnacentral:rRNA from 1 species
GCCCAACCUCCCCCCGUGACUACCUAACACUGUUGCUUCGGCGGGGAGCCCUCUCGGGGGCGAGCCGCCGGGGACUACUGAACUUCAUGCCUGAGAGUGAUGCAGUCUGAGUCUGAAUAUAAAAUCAGUCAAAACUUUCAACAAUGGAUCUCUUGGUUCCGGCAUCGAUGAAGAACGCAGCGAACUGCGAUAAGUAAUGUGAAUUGCAGAAUUCAGUGAAUCAUCGAGUCUUUGAACGCACAUUGCGCCCCCUGGCAUUCCGGGGGGCAUGCCUGUCCGAGCGUCAUUGCUGCCCAUCAAGCCCGGCUUGUGUGUUGGGUCGUCGUCCCCCCCGGGGGACGGGCCCGAAAGGCAGCGGCGGCACCGUGUCCGGUCCUCGAGCGUAUGGGGCUUUGUCACCCGCUCGAUUAGGGCCGGCCGGGCGCCAGCCGACGUCUCCAACCAUUUUCUUCAGGUUGACCUCGGAUCAGGUAGGGAUACCCGCUGAACUUAAGCAUAUCA